rnacentral:rRNA from 1 species
CCUACGGGCGGCAGCAGUGAGGAAUAUUGGUCAAUGGACGAGAGUCUGAACCAGCCAAGCAGCGUGAAGGAUGACUGUCCUAUGGGUUGUAAACUUCUUUUAUAUAGGAAUAAAACGAGGCACGUGUGCCUUUUUGCAUGUACUUUAUGAAUAAGGAUCGGCUAACUCCGUUCCAGCAGCCGCGGUAAUACGGAGGAUCCGAGCGUUAUCCGGAGUUAUUGGGUUUAAAGGGAGCGUAGAUGGGUUGUUAAGUCAGUUGUGAAAGUUUGCGGCUCAACCAUAAAAUUGCAAUUGAUACUGGCAGUCUUGAGUACAGUUGAGGUAGGCGGAAUUCGUGGUGUAGCGGUGAAAUGCUUAGAGAUCACGAAGAACCCCGAUUGCGAAGGCAGCUUACUAAACUGUGACUGACGUUGAUGCUCGAAAGUGUGGGGAUCAAACAGGAUUAGAUACCCCAGUAGUC